rnacentral:rRNA from 1 species
GAUCCUGGCUUAGGAUGAACGCUGGCGGCGUGCCUAACACAUGCAAGUCGAGCGUGAACCCUUAGAAUGAAACUCGGUCGAAUGAAGAGGGGGAAAGCGGCGGACGGGUGAGUAACGCGUAGGCAACCUGCCCCGUACAGAGGGAUAGCCUCGGGAAACCGGGAUUAAAACCUCAUAAUACCAUGGUAUCACAUGAUGCAAUGGUCAAAGAUUUAUCGGUAUGGGAUGGGCCUGCGUCUGAUUAGCUGGUUGGUGGGGUAACGGCCUACCAAGGCAACGAUCAGUAGCCGACCUGAGAGGGUAAUCGGCCACAUUGGAACUGAGACACGGUCCAAACUCCUACGGGAGGCAGCAGUGGGGAAUAUUGCACAAUGGGCGAAAAAGCCUGAUGCAGCAACGCCGCGUGAGCGAAGAAGGCCUUUGGGUCGUAAAGCUCUGUCGGGAAGGAAGAUAAUGACGGUACUUCCCGAGGAAGCCCCGGCUAACUACGUGCCAGCCGCGGC